rnacentral:rRNA from 1 species
AGGAUGAACGCUGGCGGUCUGCUUAACACAUGCAAGUCGAACGGAGUAGCAAUACUUAGUGGCGGACGGGUGAGUAACGCGUGAGAAUCUACCUUCAGGACGGAGACAACAGUUGGAAACGACUGCUAACCCCCGAUGUACCGAAAGGGCAAAUAUUUAUAGCCUGAAGAAGAGCUCGCGUCCGAUUAGCUAGUUGGAGAGGUAAAAGCUCACCAAGGCGACGAUCGGUAGCUGGUCUGAGAGGACGAUCAGCCACACUGGGACUGAGACACGGCCCAGACUCCUACGGGAGGCAGCAGUGGGGAAUUUUCCGCAAUGGGCGAAAGCCUGACGGAGCAAGACCGCGUGGGGGAAGAAGGCUCUUGGGUUGUAAACCCUUUCUCUGGGAAGAACGCAAUGACGGUACCAGAGGAAUCAGCAUCGGCUAACUCCGUGCCAGCAGCCGC